AUUCACACUUCGACAGCACAUAUAUACCAAAACUGAAUGACACAGAGAAGAUUAACAUGGCCCCUGCCCAAGGAUGACAUGCAGAUUUGUGAAGCUUUCCCUGUUUUU